rnacentral:rRNA from 1 species
GACGAACGCUGGCGGCGUGCCUAAUACAUGCAAGUUGAGCGCGGAAGGUUGGUCCUUGUACCAACUGGAUGAGCAGCGAACGGGUGAGUAACGCGUGGGGAAUCUGCCUUUGAGCGGGGGACAACAUUUGGAAACGAAUGCUAAUACCGCAUAAAAACUUUAAACACAAGUUUUAAGCUUGAAAGAUGCAAUUGCAUCACUCAAAGAUGAUCCCGCGUUGUAUUAGCUAGUUGGUGAGGUAAAGGCUCACCAAGGCGAUGAUACAUAGCCGACCUGAGAGGGGGAGCGGCCACGUUGGGACUGGGGGACGGCCCAACCUCCUACGGGAGGGAGCAGUAGGGGAUUUUCGGCAAUGGAAGAAAGUGUGAACGAGCAACGCCGCGUGAGUGAAGAAGGUUUUCAGAUCGUAAGACUCUGUUGGUAGAGAAGAACGUUGGUGAGAGUGAAAAGCUCAUCAAGUGACGGUAACUACCCAGAAAGGGACGGCUAACUACGUG